rnacentral:rRNA from 1 species
UGCCUAACCAUGCAAGUCGAACGAACCCUUCGGGGUUAGUGGCGCACGGGUGCGUAACGCGUGGGAACCUGCCUUUAGGUUCGGAAUAACUCAGAGAAAUUUGAGCUAAUACCGGAUGAUGUCUUCGGACCAAAGAUUUAUCGCCUUUAGAUGGGCCCGCGUUAGAUUAGAUAGUUGGUGGGGUAAUGGCCUACCAAGUCGACGAUCUAUAGCUGGUCUGAGAGGAUGAUCAGCCACACUGGGACUGAGACACGGCCCAGACUCCUACGGGAGGCAGCAGUGGGGAAUAUUGGACAAUGGGCGAAAGCCUGAUCCAGCAAUGCCGCGUGAGUGAUGAAGGCCUUAGGGUUGUAAAGCUCUUUUCCAGGGAUGAUAAUGACAGUCCUGGAG